rnacentral:rRNA from 1 species
AGCAGUAGCCGCGGGAAUACGGAGGGUGCAAGCGUUAUCCGGAUUUAUUGGGUUUAAAGGGUCCGUAGGCGGACUUAUAAGUCAGUGGUGAAAGCCUGUCGCUUAACGAUAGAACUGCCAUUGAUACUGUAAGUCUUGAGUAUAUUUGAGGUAGCUGGAAUAAGUAGUGUAGCGGUGAAAUGCAUAGAUAUUACUUAGAACACCAAUUGCGAAGGCAGGUUACCAAGAUAUAACUGACGCUGAGGGACGAAAGCGUGGGUAGCGAACAGGAUUAGAUACCCCCGUAGUCCCUGUCUUUUAUAC